AGAGUUUGAUCCUGGCUCAGGAUGAACGCUGGCGGCGUGCUUAACACAUGCAAGUCGAACGGUGCUAGCAAUGGCACAGUGGCGCACGGGUGAGGAACACGUAGCUUAUCUGCCCACAAGCGCGGGAUAACGCUCCGAAAGGAGUGCUAAUACCGCAUAAGCUCCCGAGCUACAGAGGCUUGGGAGAAAAGGGGCAACCCGCUUAUGGAGGAGGCUGCGGCCCAUCAGGUAGUUGGUGCGGUAACGGCGCACCAAGCCGACGACGGGUAGGGGACCUGAGAGGGUGAUCCCCCACACUGGGACUGAGACACGGCCCAGACUCCUACGGGAGGCAGCAGUGAGGAAUAUUGCCCAAUGGGCGCAAGCCUGAGGCAGCGACGCCGCGUGGGUGAAGAAGGCCUUCGGGUCGUAAAGCCCUUUUCUGUGUGACGAGCAAAGGACGGUAGCACAGAA
rnacentral:rRNA from 1 species